rnacentral:lncRNA from 1 species
CAGCCAUUCGAGGUAAUAUUCCAAUUUUCUUUUUCACUUGGUGGGGAGGGGGGAGUUCCUGAAUUUCGGUGGUUGUGCCUAAUUUGAUCAGAUCAGCUCGGGAUUUGCUUGCAUAGGGUACGGAUUUUGGCCUAUUCAUGGCUGCGUUUUUGACGUCUGCUUCUCAGAAAUUUCGUAGGGAUGAAAGCUUCUGCCUGUUUUUGGAGGUUGAACGUGGAUUCUCCCGCAUGGGUAGUUUCAGUAGGUUAAGAUAUGUUUGCUAUCGAUCUUUCUCCCAAUUGAUUGUGUCUUGUGAUGCAUAUGAAACAGUAUUUUAAUGAUUAAGACCUCAGAAAAGGGAAUGUAGAUUAUGAUGUUCGAGCUUCUCGUGUAUGAAGUCAAGGUCGAGAAAGAUGCAACUUUGCGGUUAACCAUGUUUUCAUGCCCAAAUCGAUGCUUAUUAGUUACACUUGAGGUGGUCUUACCUCUAAGCAACUGCUGUAUCUUACUUGCGAAUAUUAUUAAGGCCUUCUCACAAAUUUGGUGAAAUUAAUGCUGUUUGAUUUUAUGAUAACGUUCUGGUGCAAGGAGUAACUGACGAUUUCUUUUCUAUUCUUCUUGUAGGGUUGAUGUGGUCAUAUUCGUCAUAUGGGAACUUGUCGUUCUUGCCUUCUUAGUGUUUUCGGCCGUGUCUUUGUAUUUCAGGCACAU